CCCAUAGAGCCCAUACAUCAGCCCCAUAGAGCCCCAUAGAGCCCCAGAAAUCCCAUAGAGCCCAUAGGUCUGCCCCAUAGAGCCCCAGAGAUCCCAUAGAGCACAGAGAUCUGCCCCAUAGAGCCCAUAGGUCUGCCCCAUAGAGCCCCAGAGAUCCCAUAGAGCACAGAGAUCUGCCCCAUAGAGCCCAUAGGUCUGCCCCAUAGAGCCCCAGAGAUCCCAUAGAGCCCAUAGGUCUGCCCCAUAGAGCCCCAGAGAGCCCCAGAGAGCCCCAUAGAUGCCAGAGAUCCCAUAGAUGCCAUACAGAGCAGACAUCUGCCCCACAAAGCCCAUAGGUCUGCCCCAUAGAGCCCCAUACAGCCCAUAGAGCCCAUACAUCUGUCCCACAGAGGACAGAGAGCCCAUAGGUCUGCCCCAUAGAGCCCCAUACAGCCCCUAGAGCACAGAAAUCUGCCCCAUAGAGCCCAUAGGUCUGCCCCAUAGAGCCCCAGAGAUCCCAUAGAGCACAGAAAUCUGCCCCAUAGAGCCCAUAGGUCUGCCCCAUAGAGCCCCAGAGAUCCCAUAGAGCCCAUAGGUCUGCCCCAUAGAGCCCCAGAGAUCCCAUAGAGCACAGAAUCGCCCCAUAGAGCCCCAGAGAUCCCAUAGAGCCCAUACAUCUGUCCCACAGAGGACAGAGAGCCCAUAGGUCUGCCCCAUAGAGCCCCAUACGUCUGCCCCAUAGAGCCCCAUAGAGCCCAUACAUCUGUCCCACAGACGACAGAGAGCCCAUAGGUCUGCCCCAUAGAGCCCAUAGGUCUGCCCCAUAGAGCCCCAUAGAGCCCAUAGGUCUGCCCCAUAGAGCCCAUAGGUCUGCCCCAUAGAGCCCCAUAGAGCCCAUAGAGCCCAGAGAUCUGCCCCAUAGAGCCCCAUACAGCCCCAGAAAUCCCAUAGAUGCCAUACAGAGCAGACAUCUGCCCCAUAGAGCCCCAGAGAUCCCAUAGAGCCCAUAGGUCUGCCCCAUAGAGCCCCAGAGAUCCCAUAGAGCCGUAGAGACAGGGAUCUGCCCCAUAGAGCCCAUAGGUCUGCCCCAUAGAGCCCCAGAGAUCCCAUAGAGCACAGAGAUCUGCCCCAUAGAGCCCCAUAGAUCUCCAUAGAGCACAGAGAUCUGCCCCAUAGAGCCCCAGAGAUCCCAUAGAGCACAGAGAUCUGCCCCAUAGAGCCCCAUAGAUCUCCAUAGAGCACAGAGAUCUGCCCCAUAGAGCCCCAGAGAUCCCAUAGAGCACAGACAUCUGCCCCAUAGAGCCCCAGAGAUCCCAUAGAGCACAGAGAUCUGCCCCAUAGAGCCCCAGAGAUCCCAUAGAGCACAGAGAUCUGCCCCAUAGAGCCCCAGAGAUCCCAUAGAGCACAGAGAUCUGCCCCACAGAACCCAUAGGUCUGCCCCAUAGAGCCCAUAGAGCACAGAGAUCUGCCCCAUAGAGCCCAUAGGUCUGCCCCAUAGAGCCCCAGAGAUCUCCAUAGAGCACAGAGAUCCCAUCCCCAGGAUGGCCCCACCCACUUCCGGCCACGCCCCCUUUAAGCCCCGCCUCCCCUGACCACACCCUCCUUCAGCCCUUCAACUCCCAUGGCCGCCAUUGGCCAACCCCAAUGGCUCCCAAUGGACCCUACAGACCCCACCCACUUCCGGCCCACCCACUUCGGGACCCACCCACUUCCGGCCACGCCCUCUUUAAGCCCCGCCUCUAUUGACCACACCGCCUUCAGCCCUUCAACCCCCAUGGACGCCAUUGGCCAACCACAAUGGCUCCCAAUGGACCCUACAGACCCCACCCACUUCCGGCUCCUCCCCUUCCGGGCCCUCCCACUUCCGGCCACGCCCACUUCAAGCCACGCCCCCUUUACUCCCUACCCCAAUGGAAGCCAUUGGCCAACCCAACCCAACGCCAACCCCAAUGGCUCCCAAUGGAUCCUACAGACCCCUCCCACUUCCGGCCCACCCACUUCCGGCCACGCCCUCUUUAAGCCCCGCCUCCCCGACCACACCCUCCUUCAGCCCUUCAACUCUCAUGGACGCCAUUGGCCAACCCCAAUGGCUCCCAAUGGACCCUACAGACCUCACCCACUUCCGACUUCUCACCUUCCGGGACUUCCCACUUCCGGUCACGCCCACUUUAAGCCCCGCCUCCUUUACGACCGAUGCCAUUGGCCCACCCAAUGGAUGCCAUUGGCCAACCCAACGUCACCGACCCAACAGACCCGACAACCACACCCCCAACCCACUUCCGGCCCCUCCCACUUCCGGCCACGCCCCCUUUAAGCCCCGCCUCCCCGACCACACCCUCCUUCAGCCCUUCAAUUCCCAUGGACGCCAUUGGCCAACCCCAAUGGCUCCCAAUGGACCCUACAGACCCCUCCCACUUCUGGCACCUCCCACUUCCGGCCACGCCCACUUUAAGCCCCGCCUCCUUUACGGCGGAUGCCAUUGGCCCACCCAAUGGACGCCAUUGGCCAACCCAACACCACCGACCCCAAUAGACCCUACAGACCCCUCCCACUUCCGGCUCCUCCCCUUCCUGGACCUCCCACUUCCGGCCACGCCCACUUCAAGCCACGCCCCCUUUACUCCCUACCCCAAUGGAAGCCAUUGGCCAACCCAACACCACCGACCCAACAGACCCUAC
ensembl:lncRNA